rnacentral:rRNA from 1 species
UACGUAGGGUGCAAGCGUUGUCCGGAAUUAUUGGGCGUAAAGAGCUCGUAGGCGGUCUGUCGCGUCGGCUGUGAAAUCCCGAGGCUCAACCUCGGGUCUGCAGUCGAUACGGGCAAACUGGAGUGUUGCAGGGGAGACUGGAAUUCCUGGUGUAGCGGUGAAAUGCGCAGAUAUCAGGAGGAACACCGGUGGCGAAGGCGGGUCUCUGGGCAACAACUGACGCUGAGGAGCGAAAGCCGUGGGGAGCGAACAGG